rnacentral:misc_RNA from 1 species
UGUUGUGCAUGGCUGUGUCCUUC